UCUCCCCCAUCCAAAACUGUCAUUUGAUGGAGGCAGAGGGCUAGGGCUCCUGGCCCCUCGGCAUCAUGUCUUCAGUGCCGGCCGCUUCCAAUCCGCUGGUUCUAUCCUCAAGCGCCAAGACACAG